CCACAUGUAACUAACAGUUAAACUGUAAGUCUAUGUCGUUGUUUUUUGUUUGAAUUGUUUACGUGUUCGCUAUGCGUGGGAAAUUAUAAGACAAGCGGAACUACGUAGCUAAUAACUGUUGUAACGGGGAUCCUUAUUGUAGCAGCACACUUUUGGAGCGAAGGCAAUCCCGCGCUGUGUUAGCAAAAUUUUCAUGUCAUCGGGUGAAAUUCGUAAAGGUUGAAGUGUGUAUGUUAGGAUGGUAACAUUAUAAUAAUUAAGGAUGAAGUGUGAAUUCAUGCCAGGAAUAAUAAGGGCACUGCAGAGGCUAAGAAGACGCAUGGAAACUCUAAAAGAAACGUAAUUCAACUUGUAAACCAGAUUUCAAAAGGAAAUAAUGAAUCCCGAAGCUCAGAUGUCAGACACCGAGGCUGCCAGUACCUCUGGGUCGAUAGUCCAUGUGUUGGAUGAUGCACACGCCGUUGAUCAGAAC